GAAAUGCGAUAAGUAAUGUGAAUUGCAGAAUUCAGUGAAUCAUCGAAUCUUUGAACGCACCUUGCGCUCCUUGGUAUUCCGAGGAGCAUGCCUGUUUGAGUGUCAUGGAAUUCUCAACUCUAUUUGCUUUUGUGAAUAGAGCUUGGAUUUGGAGGUUUAUUGCUGGUACUUGUGAUCGGCUCCUCUUGAAUGCAUUAGCUCGAACCUUUGCGGAUCAGCUAUCGGUGUGAUAAUUGUCUACGCCGUUGCAGUGAAGCAUAUCAAUGGGCUCGGCUUCCAAUCGUCCUUUACUGGACAAUGACUUUGACCUUUGACCUCAAAUCAGGUAGGAUUACCCUCUGAACUUAAGC
rnacentral:misc_RNA from 1 species